UGGACUUACGGGCCGGGCGGGCGCCGCCGUCGCCGCUACCGUCUCCCCCACCCUCCCCAGGCGUGGGGCGUGUGUGCGGGGUGGGGCUUUUGACCCCGCCGGGACCGAGACUCCGAGAUCGCUGGUGAUGCUUUUGUUGUCCCUUCUCCGGCCGAAGAAGGACGAGGGCGACUCUUCUCCUUCUUUCCCCCUCUCUCCUCCCUUCUCUGGGGGAGAAGGCGGCGGCUCCCCUCCGCUUGUCAAUGUGGCCCAUCCUUGAGAGCCGGGGAUGCCCGCUCAGAUACCGGCUGCUGCUGCUUGGUUGUUUCCCAAAAGAAGACGAGAAAUCCCUGGACCAGACUUGCCUUCUUCGUCAUCGUCGUAACUUUUUCAGGAUUUGAAAAAAAAAACCCCUUUUCCUUCUUUUUUUUUUUGAAGGGAGGGGGUGUCUCGCUUUUGGGGGGCGACCCCCUCCUCCCCUGCGACUCCUUUGUUUCCAAGAAGGGGGGAGGGAAGAAAGAAAAAAAGAAAGAAAUCGGAGGAAGUGCGAAGAAGAAGAAAAAGAAGAGAG